rnacentral:misc_RNA from 1 species
CAUAGACUAUCAGAUCAAUCUUGGCGUCGUCGCCGCCAUUGUUCUAUGAUUUUUCUGUGUGGUUUUGGAAUAUAACAUUUAACAAAAUCUCUGCUUUAACUUCCACAUCGAAUCCAGAGCUCAGCAAAAACUUUCUUACUUUAAAGGCCAGCUCGCUGAUGGAAAAGAUUCUUCUGGUGUGUUGAAAGCAGUAUCAUCUACCGUUAAAGGAGUUUUGACAUACAAAGUCACAUUGAGCAGUUCACUCGAACCAGGGCAAACUGUCAAAGUUCUUGUUGACACAGUGUUCGCUCACAAUCUUGCACCUCAUUUAGCAGAUAUUGGAAAAAGAAAAGCAGUAAGUCCAGUACAGCGGUAGUGCAUUAUUCUACAUGUUGAAAGCUACACCAAAGUUAAGCCCUUUUCACAAAGUGAUUUAACGAUUACCUAUGGACCAUAUGAAAAUAUUGCUCCUUUGACUGAAGAGGAUAUUAUUCAUUUUGAGAACAAUGUCUUCGAGUGUUGACAAUCUCCUUAGACAUUUCCAUUGGGGUAAAAUUGCUGUUGAAGAGACUUUCGAUGUUUAUCAUGGUGGAUCCAAGCUCAAAAGCUCUUUUUUGGGAUUUGAAUUGGCCGACAGCAGCAAAGCCAUCAACGCCAAUGCGACGACCAACGAGGGAAACAGCAUCGGCCACUACUAUCCAAUGUUCCAGGAUGUCCAUGUCAUGAUGUUCAUCGGUUUCGGCUUAUUGAUGACCUUUUUGAAUAAGUACGGCUACAGCGCAGUGGCUGUCUUUUUUCUGAUCGCCGCCAUCGUCCUACAAUGGGCCACCCUCUGCCAAGGGUUCUACCACACUUUCGAUGGUCGAAAUAUUCACAUCACUAUUACCAGUUUGUUGAACGCCGAUUUCGCAUCGGCCACCGUUUUGAUUUCGUUCGGCGCUGUCAUCGGCGUCACGACGCCACUCCAGCUGGCCGUCAUGGCUGUUUGCGAGAUUGCCAUUUUCGCCAGCAACGAACAUCUCGGACUGGAAAUCUUGAGGAUUUCUUAUGUUGGGGCGUCGAUGCUGGUCAACAUCUUUGGCGCCUAUUUCGGACUGGCCGUCAGUUGCGUAUUGAGGAGGGACGUCGCCUCGGAGAAGGAAGGCGCCACCUACAAUUCCGACAUUUUCGCCAUGAUGGUUCCUUAUAGGAGCGCUGUUGUUGGGUCCACCUGGUUGCGGAAAGACGUUACUGGCUAAAGCUGUCGCAACGGAAGCCGAUGUUCCAUUUCUGUCCAUGAAUGGUUCGGAAUUCAUCGAAGUAACUGGAGGACUGGAAGCGGCUCGCGUCCGAGAUUUGUUCAAAGAAGCACGAAAAGAGUUCCUGCAUUAUUUACAUUGACGAGAUCGAUGCCAUUGGCCGCCAGCGUUCCCAGGGUGGUGGUGCUUUUGAUGGAGCAUCUGGUGAAAGUGAACAGACAUUAAAUCAACUUUUAGUGGAAAUUGACGGAAUGUUAACUCGCGAAUGUCAACACUGACGCUCUUCUGAAAGUGACCAUUGUUUCUCGUACGAGCCAGGCCCUGGGAUUCGCUCAGUACACGCCCACCGACAAGCGACUCUUCUCUACUGAAAAACUUUUCGGGCGGAUGUGCAUGGCCUUAGGCGGGCGAGUGGCCGAAUCUAUCACGUUCCGAGUGAUAACCGGAACACAAAAUGAUCUUUUCUAGAUCCAAGUGCUUUGACUUUUUCCAAUGUACAAAAAAUAUGUUUGUGUAAAAAUUUUUCUUAAAUAAAGUGCUUUUAUGGUUUAA